rnacentral:rRNA from 1 species
ACUGCGAAUACCGGAGAAUGUUAUCACGGGAGACACACGGCGGGUGCUAACGUCCGUCGUGAAGAGGGAAACAACCCAGACCGCCAGCUAAGGUCCCAAAGUCAUGGUUAAGUGGGAAACGAUGUGGGAAGGCCCAGACAGCCAGGAUGUUGGCUUAGAAGCAGCCAUCAUUUAAAGAAAGCGUAAUAGCUCACUGGUCGAGUCGGCCUGCGCGGAAGAUGUAACGGGGCUAAACCAUGCACCGAAGCUGCGGCAGCGAACGUAUCACCCAAGACAACUUUACGGAGUUGACGAUUGACGGAGCGAAGCGACGUCAAAGCGUUCAUUAAAGUCGAGUUGGCUUAGGGAUACGUUCGUUGGGUAGGGGAGCGUUCUGUAAGCCUGUGAAGGUGUGUCGUGAGGCAUGCUGGAGGUAUCAGAAGUGCGAAUGCUGACAUAAGUAACGAUAAAGCGGGUGAAAAGCCCGCUCGCCGGAAGACCAAGGGUUCCUGUCCAACGUUAAUCGGGGCAGGGUGAGUCGACCCCUAAGGCGAGGCCGAAAGGCGUAGUCGAUGGGAAACGGGUUAAUAUUCCCGUACUUGGUGUUACUGCGAAGGGGGGACGGAGAAGGCUAUGUUGGCCGGGCGACGGUUGUCCCGGUUUAAGCGUGUAGGUGUGUGUUCCAGGUAAAUCCGGUUCACUUUAACACUGAGGCGUGACGACGAGGCACUACGGUGCUGAAGCAACAAAUGCCCUGCUUCCAGGAAAAGCCUCUAAGCAUCAGGUAACAUCAAAUCGUACCCCAAACCGACACAGGUGGUCAGGUAGAGAAUACCAAGGCGCUUGAGAGAACUCGGGUGAAGGAACUAGGCAAAAUGGUGCCGUAACUUCGGGAGAAGGCACGCUGACACGUAGGUGAAGUGAUUUACUCAUGGAGCUGAAGUCAGUCGAAGAUACCAGCUGGCUGCAACUGUUUAUUAAAAACACAGCACUGUGCAAACACGAAAGUGGACGUAUACGGUGUGACGCCUGCCCGGUGCCGGAAGGUUAAUUGAUGGGGUCAGCGCAAGCGAAGCUCCUGAUCGAAGCCCCGGUAAACGGCGGCCGUAACUAUAACGGUCCUAAGGUAGCGAAAUUCCUUGUCGGGUAAGUUCCGACCUGCACGAAUGGCGUAAUGAUGGCCAGGCUGUCUCCACCCGAGACUCAGUGAAAUUGAACUCGCUGUGAAGAUGCAGUGUACCCGCGGCAAGACGGAAAGACCCCGUGAACCUUUACUAUAGCUUGACACUGAACAUUGAGCCUUGAUGUGUAGGAUAGGUGGGAGGCUUUGAAGUGUGGACGCCAGUCUGCAUGGAGCCGACCUUGAAAUACCACCCUUUAAUGUUUGAUGUUCUAACGUGGACCCGUUA